CAGGAUUCUGUAAUUAACAGCAAUGAGAACAAUAACGAUGAUCCUCUGCACUUGGACGCCCCCUCCCACCAAUCCAUAAGAUGCGGAUCUAUAUAGAUAAAGCCUUGGGAAAGCAUGUUAUCAUCCAACAAGGACGCUGGAAAACUGCCCAGACAGCAAUUCCUGGUUUACUUCUGCUUCUGCCUCCUGGAAAGGGAUACAAACACGGGAUGGAC
rnacentral:lncRNA from 1 species